UGCAGUCGNNCGGCAGCGCGGGGCAACCUGGCGGCGAGUGGCGAACGGGUGAGUAAUAUAUCGGAACGUACCCUGGAGUGGGGGAUAACGUAGCGAAAGUUACGCUAAUACCGCAUACGAUCUAAGGAUGAAAGUGGGGGAUCGCAAGACCUCAUGCUCCUGGAGCGGCCGAUAUCUGAUUAGCUAGUUGGUGGGGUAAAGGCCUACCAAGGCAUCGAUCAGUAGCUGGUCUGAGAGGACGACCAGCCACACUGGAACUGAGACACGGUCCAGACUCCUACGGGAGGCAGCAGUGGGGAAUUUUGGACAAUGGGCGAAAGCCUGAUCCAGCAAUGCCGCGUGAGUGAAGAAGGCCUUCGGGUUGUAAAGCUCUUUUGUCAGGGAAGAAACGGUGAGAGCUAAUAUCUUUUGCUAAUGACGGUACCUGAAGAAUAAGCACCGGCUAACUACGUGCCAGCAGCCGCGGUAAUACGUAGGGUGCAAGCGUUAAUCGGAAUUACUGGGCGUAAAGCGUGCGCAGGCGGUUUUGUAAGUCUGUCGUGAAAUCCCCGGGCUCAACCUGGGAAUUGCGAUGGAGACUGCAAGGCUAGAAUCUGGCAGAGGGGGGUAGAAUUCCACGUGUAGCAGUGAAAUGCGUAGAGAUGUGGAGGAACACCGAUGGCGAAGGCAGCCCCCUGGGUCAAGAUUGACGCUCAUGCACGAAAGCGUGGGGAGCAAACAGGAUUAGAUACCCUGGUAGUCCACGCCCUAAACGAUGUCUACUAGUUGUCGGGUUUUAAUUAACUUGGUAACGCAGCUAACGCGUGAAGUAGACCGCCUGGGGANUACGGUCGCAAGAUUAAAACUCAAAGGAAUUGACGGGGACCCGCACAAGCGGUGGAUGAUGUGGAUUAAUUCGAUGCNACGCGAAAAANCCUUACCUACCCUUGA
rnacentral:rRNA from 1 species